rnacentral:rRNA from 1 species
CACUAUGCCUAGCCUUAAACAUUGACAGUUAACUACACCCACUGUCCGCCCGGGAACUACGAGCGCCAGCUUAAAACCCAAAGGACUUGGCGGUGCUUUAGACCCACCUAGAGGAGCCUGUUCUAGAACCGAUAAUCCCCGUUAAACCUCACCCUUCCUUGUCAUUUCCGCCUAUAUACCACCGUCGUCAGCUUACCCUGUGAAGGCUUAACAGUAAGCGCAAUCGGCAAAGCCCAAAACGUCAGGUCGAGGUGUAGCGAAUGGAAGGGGAAGAAAUGGGCUACAUUUACUGGCACAGUAAAUACGGAUGAUUACCCUGCAACGAGUAUCUGAAGGAGGAUUUAGCAGUAAGCAAAAAGCAGAGUGUUUUGCUGAAAUUGGCCCUGAAGCGUGUACACACCGCCCGUCACUCUCUCCGAGCUAAGACUUUAAACAUAACUAAUAUGCUAUAACUGUAAAGGAGAGGCAAGUCGUAA